rnacentral:lncRNA from 1 species
UCUCUUCAUGUUUUCUUCUCCGUCGGCCUCUCUUUUUCCCGUCGCCAUCCUCGUUCAUGUCAUGUGCUGCUGCUCCGCUCCCGCUGGAGCUCCUUCACGUGGGUACGUGACCGUAGCGCUCACGCUCCCGUCGCCGGCCUCCGCAGAGGUGCCUUCCUAGGCCAGGUUAGGCUGCACGAGCGGUUGCUGAUGCACGCCGCGAACCUCGAGACGCCAACGCCGGUGGCUCCCAGUCCAAGGCGCUGACGGCACGGGUCUUGCGCAUCGGCGAUGGCGAAGACAGCCACG